rnacentral:rRNA from 1 species
CGGGAUUGGAGAGCUUGCUUUCCAUGAGAGUGGCGUACGGGUGCGUAACGCGUAUGCAACCUACCUUGAUCAGGGGGAUAGCCCGAAGAAAUUCGGAUUAACACCGCAUAAAAACACAGUACCGCAUGGUACAAUGUUCAAAUAUUUAUAGGAUCAAGAUGGGCAUGCGUGACAUUAGUUUGUUGGUGAGGUAACGGCUCACCAAGACUACGAUGUCUAGGGGAUCUGAGAGGAUGACCCCCCACACUGGUACUGAGACACGGACCAGACUCC